rnacentral:tRNA from 1 species
GAGGUUGUGGCUCAGAGGUAGAGCGCUCGCCUACCAUGCGUGAAGGACUGGGUUCGAUCCUUAGCACCACA